AAUAGACACUAGAAAAAAGUUUGCUGGAGAGUUUCUAGGCAUGAUUUUCUUUACUGACAAAAGAGAAAUAUGCAAGGAAGACUAUCUCAUUAUUUCUUUGCUUUGGAAAUUCUCCCUGUAAUAUUUAGAUCUGCUGCAAGCCAACAUGAGAUCAGCCAAUGUAGAGAGAGAGACAGAGGAGAAAGAUGAAAAGAACCUAGAUCUCAGAUUUCAUUGAGUGCAAAGAAGAUAAGAAUUACAGGAAAAAUUCAGGGUGAAGACUUCCAAACAGGAUGCAGCAAGAAAAGCUCCCUGGAAUCACUUAUAAUUUACUACAAAAGAUAUUGGUCUCUGUCUCUGCUUUUAUGGAGACUCCAAACAAGAUGGUUCCUACCAAAAUGGUCCAGAAGCCCACUGUUACAGUAAAAUCUUGAAUUUGGACAACUUGCAGUCUGAAAGCCAAAGGACUACACUACUGAACUCAGUCACAUGGCCAUACUUCUCUGAAGAAGGACAGAAGGACAGAGUCACUGAUGCCCCCAGAGGAGGAGGGAAAUUAUUAACUGUCUCUGUCAGGUGGUUUUAAAUGAAAAGCGUGCUUUCAAGAUGUGAUGGAUAAAAGAAAAGAGAUAAGACACAAUAUUACGGUGAAGCUUUGUUGAUGAAAUACAUAAAUGAGAUAUUUAAAUAAUAAUAUAACAAAAUUUAUAUUUGAAUGAAAAAUAGAAUAUUAAAGGGACAGUCUUUUGCCCUCACUGAAUCUAAUUUCUUCUUGCUGUAAAGAACUCUAAACUAAAGUACUCACUAAGCUAAUAUAACUAGUUGGUGUCUCAGCUGGGUCACAUGUUAGUCUAAAAGGUUGACACUAUUCCAUGCUUACACUCAUCCUUACCCACAUAAUUGAUUUCUAUUUUCUACCUUCUGUCAGAUAAACCAGCAUUUGCAGGUGAUGGUUCUUAUUCCCAGUGCUGAACUUUCUUUGAAAAAAUCCAACUGAAGGAGCCAUAAUAAACAAUAGAAUCACUGCCCACAACUGUCCAUAACAGUCCAUCAGAGAAAGCCAAGCUGAAGAAACCUAUGCACUAAGCUUCUUCUUGAUGAAUUGGUUUGAUGAGACAGGGUCAAAAGUCUUCCAGAGAUAGCUAAAACUGAUCCACACAGAUAAACUUUGGAGCCGUCUUUCCUGGGGGCUUGGCCAGUGUGCCAUUGGGCAAUGAAGGCUGACGGACAUUUGGACUCCUGCUCCCAAGUGCUGGCUGUACUGAAGUGUAGGCUGGCUACAGAGUCACUCUAAUACUGGAGAGAGUCGCAGUAUUUGUUGUGUGUCUUUAUAUAUUGAUAUAAAUGUUUUUAUAUUGGAAAAACUGAAGUAUGUCCAGUAUCUUUUGGAGUUAGCUUCUGGGAUAAGUAGAGAGAAAUAGAGAUAUGGUUAAUAUGGAUUACCAGUCACUAAACAGAUUGAAUGGAGCCUAUGUCAUGUCCACUCUCCUUUAAAUUGUUAUAUUUCCUGAAAGUGAUAUGAAUAAUAAAUAAUAUGCAAACAAAAGGAUUGGAAAAUGCAAGGUGAAUGUAGUAUUUUUGGGGGGAGUACUGGGGAUUGAACUUGGGACCUUGCACUUACAAAGCAGGAGGAGGAACCACUGAGCUAAAUCCCCAGCCCAAAUGUAGUUUUGAUAUAGGUAGCCAUUAAGAAAGAGAUAAGGGUUAGGAAGUAUCUCUAAAAAAUAGUUGGCAAGAUGCUCUGCUUGCUUAAUCAGUUGGAGUGCUCAAUGCCAAGUAGAUUCCUAGGUCACCUCCA
ensembl:lncRNA